CCACUUAUGCAAUUGACAAACAUACACAUACAUGUAUAUAUAUAGUUACAUGUUUGUAUACUAUAACACAGGUUGAAUGACUCAUCAAGGUACAAAUUCAGACAUUUGUUUACAUCAACACACAACCAUAAAACAUCUGACGCAUUGUAUGUAAAUUUGAAUGACGUAAUACCAAAGAACCUGCUUGCUGCACAUAUAAGUGGCCCAACCUUAUCCUGAGGAUCACGAUUUAGCAAACUUGAAUCUACAAUACCUGAGGAUGCUUCCACACAAGUUUCAACUUUUCUAACCAAACGGUCCUUGAGAAAAAAAUUUGCUUUUUACAGUAAUUGAGCAUGUUAAUUAAUUUUUUUUUUAAUUUCAAAAAAUCAUAAAACAUAAUCUUUGCAUGUUUUAAUAUAUAUAUCUACUGCAUUGGAUUUUACUUUGUUUAAUAGAGAAUAAGCUCAGUUUUUAAAUAACAUUUGUUUACUUGAUUUCAGGACAUUAAUUUUCUGAAACUUUUCUUUAUCCAAGUUCAAGAUUGUACUUGACAUUUAAAUCAAUCACUUUAUUUCUUAAACAAAUAUCCGGACCAGGAACAGCGAACACUGCAAAUGACCAUGUUGGAUUUUGAAGUUAGUAGUUUACCCAAGGGAAAGGGUAAGACCAUGGACCCCUGGAACAGCGCCCAGGAUUUUGUACGCUGCACCCUGUGUCAGGAGUCUGUGGCCCCAUGUACUGUGAAGUUUAUCAUACAUAUCUGUUUAAAGACUGUAUAGAGAAACAUUUAUCUCAUUCCUCAAAAGUUCAUAAAGUGAUGUCACUUAAACAAUAUUUAAUAUCACUCUGAACUAUACUGAGUGUGGCAAUCACCGCAUCAACAAUGUGAACAGAGUUCAACUCCGUUGUAGACAAUGUUACAAUGUGUUGCACUUCGACCCAUAGAACCGAGUCCACUCCCUCAGAUUGAUCACUGAUGGAUGUAUCCCGGGUCAUCACAGCUAA